rnacentral:ncRNA from 1 species
CUCUUAUCAAGAGUAGGCGGAGGGACUGGCCCGACGAUGCCACGGCAACCGACACGAUAUUUCGUGCACGGUGCCAAUUCCAACAGGUUGUUUAUGCAACCUGAAAGAUGAGAG